rnacentral:rRNA from 1 species
GAUGAACGCUAGCGGCAGGCUUAACACAUGCAAGUCGAGGGGUAACAGGGAAGCUUGCUUUCGCUGACGACCGGCGCACGGGUGCGUAACGCGUAUACAAUCUACCUCUUACUGAGGGAUAGCCUUUGGAAACGAAGAUUAAGACCUCAUAGUAUUACUGAAUCGCAUGGUUUAGUAAUUAAAGGUUACGGUAAGAGAUGAGUAUGCGUUCUAUUAGUUAGUUGGUGUGGUAACGGCACACCAAGACCGCGAUAGAUAGGGGCCCUGAGAGGGGGAUCCCCCACACUGGUACUGAGACACGGACCAG